UACGAAGGGGACUAGCGUUGUUCGGAAUCACUGGGCGUAAAGCGCACGUAGGCGGAUUUGUCAGUCAGGGGUGAAAUCCCGGGGAUCAACCUCGGAACUGCCUUUGAUACAGCAAAUCUCGAGUCCGGAAGAGGUGGGUGGAACUCCUAGUGUAGAGGUGAAAAUCGUAGAUAUUAGGAAGAACACCAGUGGCGAAGGCUGCCCAAUGGUCCGGGACUGACGAUGUGGUGCGAUAGCGUGGGGAGCCUAGAGG
rnacentral:rRNA from 1 species